GGGAAAGCUUUGGGCUUUUUUGGGGGGCUCAUUCCCUUUGUUUCUCAAAAUAUCCCUGGCCCUGGCUGCUCUAAUCUCUUCCCAGAGUAGAGACAGCGAGGCUCCUGCUCCAGGAACACAGCCUGCUCCCUGAGACAGCACUCUGGCUCAGCCCUGGGGCCCCGGCCUGGGUGGCCCUCAGGAAGACCUUCUCCUUCAGUGGGGGUGCCUCCCUCCCUGGUGUGAAAUGGAACACUGUUUCUCAGAACCCCGCAUCCUGUGAAACCCUUGGGAAAAAAUAACCUCGAUGCCCACAGGCGAUUGUUCAGUACUUCCCACGCCUGACACUUGUCUUUGAGUAAGUCUGGUGGCGUUCUGGCCGGCCCCGCAACAGCGGGACUGUGUCUUGUGAUAUGAAGAGGUUCUUUUCCUAACCAUAUAUGUCUCCCCAAGAGCACCAAUAAAUAAUGUGGUUGCUCGGCCUGGGUUGUCUUUCCCUAGCUGGCCCAGGAGCCCUCUGGCCCCUGCUCGCGGCUUCUCCUGUUUCAAUUUCCAUGUCCUCUCCGAUUUGUAACUCAAGGAGCUCCCAGGCUUAGGAACAGAUGACGAGCUGGCCACUCCUGGCUGUGGCACCUGGGGAAGGGGCGAUGGGCAAUGACUUGCAGGCACACUCCUGGCUCCCUGGCCCCGGCUGCCGUGACACACUGCAAGUUGACUUUCGCAGGGUCCCUGGACUUCGAGGUGCUACUGUCUGGCAUCUCCUUCAAGGGAAAGCCAGAUCUCCAAACAGCGGCAGAACCAGGCAUGUAGAGCCCAGUGAGUGGCUAGGAGUCAGUGGGGCUCUCUACCUGCCCAUCUCAUCCAGGGCACAACAGGGCCUGGCCUGGAGGACAGUGUCCCCGCUCAGCUCUGCCAGUCAGACUGACACUAUCAUCUCAACCUUAGUGGGGAUGGAUUUAGCAAGGCCAGGAUACAUGAGAAGAACUUCAUUUCUGAAGGUGAUGAGUAGACAGUGAGAGAAGCACACCAUGUCAGUACCAAACAGAUUAAAAGCAAUAGCUAAACUGACUCCCACAUUUCUGUUUGGAGUAAAAUGAAGCCUUUGUGAAUAAUCUGUAUUUUAAAUUAUUAGCUCUUGGGAACCUAAGAAAGGAGCAUCUGAUUUAACUUUUUAUUACCUCUUGGCAGGUGGUAGACAUUGAGCAAUAAAGGAUUCGUGGCAAGAUUUAAUGCUUAGAAU
rnacentral:lncRNA from 1 species